rnacentral:rRNA from 1 species
GAUGAACGCUGGCGGCGUGCCUAACACAUGCAAGUCGAACGGAAAGGCCCUGCUUUUGUGGGGUGCUCGAGUGGCGAACGGGUGAGUAACACGUGAGUAACCUGCCCUUGACUUUGGGAUAACUUCAGGAAACUGGGGCUAUUACCCGAUAGGAGCUCCUGCUGCAUGGUGGGGGCUGGAAAGUUUCGGCGGUUGGGGAUGGACUGGGGGCUUAUGCGCUUGUUGGUGGGGUAGUGGCUUACCAAGGCUUUGACGGGUAGCCGGCCUGAGAGGGUGAACGGGGACAAGGGGACUGCGAUACGGCGCAGACUGCUACGGGAGGCAGCAGUGGGGAGUAUUGCACAGUGAGCGGAAGCCUGUUGCAGAGACGCCGCGUGCGGGAUGCCGGCCUUCGGGUUAAGAACCGCUUGCGCCUGUGACGAAGCGUGAGUGACGGUAAUGGGUAAAGAAGCACCGGCUAACUACGUG